rnacentral:misc_RNA from 1 species
GAUGAAGAACGCAGCAAAAUGCGAUAAGUAAUGUGAAUUGCAGAAUUCAGUGAAUCAUCGAAUCUUUGAACGCACAUUGCGCCCGCCAGUAUUCUGGCGGGCAUGCCUGUUCGAGCGUCAUUUCAACCCUCAAGCACAGCUUGGUGUUGGGACUCGCGUUAAUUCGCGUUCCUCAAAUUGAUUGGCGGUCACGUCGAGCUUCCAUAGCGUAGUAGUAAAACCCUCGUUACUGGUAAUCGUCGCGGCCACGCCGUUAAACCCCAACUUCUGAAUGUUGACCUCGAAUCAGGUAGGAAUACCCGCUGAACUUAAGCAUAUCAAUAAGCGGAGGA